AAUUCCGCGGGCCACGAAGGACGGCGACGGCGACUGAACCCAAAGCCCCUCCGCUCCCCUCCCCACCUCCGACGGCAGAGAGGCGACGCCUCCAACAACCUCAGGUUCUUCCUCCACCGGCGACCGGAGCGGGGCCUGCAUAGCGCAUCGCUUCCACGUCCCUCUCCUCUCCCAGAUUUCCCCUCUCCGGCGACGGUUGUCGUCUUCCCAAGAUCUGCUCCGCCCAGAUCCCUGUCCCUCCGGCGAUAACGACGGUCGGCGAAGCAUAGAGAAGGCCGGCGGCGAGUGAGGCGGGCGCCGCGAGCGUCUACCUAGGAGAGGCGCCUCCGCCUCUCUCCGGCUACCGGGAGCGGCGCUUCUGCCUCCCUCCGGCGACGACCAUGGUGGCUAAGCAUCCAAGAUUCCGCUCUUCCCUCCGACAACGGCGACUGCCUAGCAGUCGUUCUUCUCCUGCCCAAACUAUCCGCUCUGCUUAUCUAGUUCAUCAUGGCUUAUUCGUCCCCGAGCUGAUAAGUUGUAGUUCCAGAUCUUGCAGGCUGCCGAUUGGAGAUGUUUUCUCUCUCAAAUUCUGACCGCUUCUUGAAGCAAAGCAGAACAUAUCCCGUCAUCUUUCAGGGUCACCUGCUGCUUCUCCCCUGCCGAAGCAAUUUGUCCAUCUUUCGGCGGCGCUCCAUCAAGCAUCAGAAAUGCUAGCAUGUAGGGAUGCAAUCUUGCUGGCCUGCUCGAGGGGAUGGUCUCACGUUCAAUUGGAGACAGAUUGUCAAACAAUUGUGAAGGUUUGGGGUGGAGAAAAGGAGCAACGUUCUUCUUUCUCCCAGCUGGUUAUAGAGAUGAAGCUUUACUCUCGUUCUUCUUUGGUUUUUCAAUAAAUUUUGUAAAGAAAGAUGCAAAUAAGGCAGCACAUGCUUGUGCUAGUGUGGCACUCUCUGUUGAUGAUUUGGUAGUCUCGUAUGACUGUGUCCCUGGUUUUCUAGCUGAGGUUGUUUAGCUUGAUUUUAUGCCGUCGAUUGAAUAAAUGCCGAUGGGCGAUGUUCAAAAAAAGGACUGGUUCUUAA